AAAUUUAGACAUGCUUGAUCUAGCUGAUACAAUUAGCAUAGAUCUAUUUCAUAAACAGUUCAUAAAUGAAGAACUUUAAUUUAAUUCACAGUUCAAUAGCAAUAGAACGGAAUUCAAUUGCACAAAGUGCGAAUUUCAAUAAUCAAUAUAGACGUGAAUAAUCAUCAAUAAUUAUUCACUAACAUGCUUUGAAAAUAAUAACUCGAGUUUGAGUUAGGAAACUUGCCUCGUCUGUAGAUUACAGCUACGCAAUUAAUUUAUAUCCACUAUGCAGUUAUAUUAUCUUCCUUUGAGAGACCUAUAGUUAAUUUUUCAAUUAG
rnacentral:lncRNA from 1 species